rnacentral:lncRNA from 1 species
UCGCACCACAUUUUCAUUGCACUCUUCAAGUUUGCUCAUCUUCUCAUGAUGUCCCAAACUUUUUUCUUGGUAUUUUAUGGUCAACUUUUUACAAAUUAGCACAUCUUAUUCUGGUGAUGGUCCAAAAAUUGAUUAGGAGGAAGUAAGAAAAGUUAUUUGCCUCUUGUAUUAUUAAAUAAGCAAGAUAAACAACAAAUAUAAGCCCUUGUUUGAGCCCCAUUUAGGGGGAAGAAAUAUAUUUUGGAAUAGUGUUUUUUGGAGAAUGUGGAGUUAAAAUAUAAGAAAAUGUUUUCGAUUUACGUAUAAAAUUAUUUUAUUCGAGAAUGUGUAAUUGAAAAUGAGUUUUGAAAAAAAUGAGGUUUUGAUAAAAUGAGGCUCCAAAAUAAAAAAGCUAAAGUUAGACAAAAUACUUUUCCCACUUUAUUGGAAUAUAUGGAAACCAUUUUUUAUACAAGACGUGCUAGUUAAUUGAAGACUAAAGGCGAAAAUGCACAAAAAUGUUAGGGAUGUAAAUGCUAAAAUAGAAAAAUUUUGGGACCUAAAUUGUCAAAACGUGGUGCACUUAACUAGUACUAUGAUGUGAAUAUAAUUACCCUUAUCAAAAUAGCUUGCUUUAUACAUAAAAACAGAUAAAUGUCUAUUCCACCCUAUAAAAAAAUAGCCUUCAGAUCAACUUAAUCAAAAUUCAAAGGCAUACUAUAUUCUUCCAUCCUCAUCCCGUCCACUUACUUAACUAACGCAAAAACUCUCCUUAAAUAAUGCAAUUAAUUUCCUUUAUAAUGUGACAACUCUCAUUAAGUAGUAUGCAUCAAUUAAAAAUAGUUAGCUUUAUUGCAUUAAAAAGAGUCUACUGAUUAAAAAUAUGUGUUUUUUUAAUUAAAGUAAAUUUAUGGACAAUGGUGGACGGGUUUGGACAAGAAGUUCUUUUAAAAUGAGGACUAUGACUUUUAAUUUCUUGCAUACUUGACCAUCUCACUCAACUCGACAGGUUGGGUAAGGUGGACAGAUGACCCAACUUUCCAAACUCGCACAACUCCAAGUUGGUCCAGGAGAAGUCCAACUAUUCGAGCUUGCCUAGCUACUAACUAGCACUACUUUGAUUGGAGGAUAUAAUAAAUACAGGAGAAAUUUUUAAUUUCUCCAUUCUAACUAAAAGACUUCUUUGGCGGUGAACUAUAGAGCUAGAUAUUUUUCAUCUUACCUAGCGAAACAAGGUCAUUUAGAAAGGUUCCACAAGAAUCAAACAUUCAUUUUUCAUUCCCAUAAGGGUUCUAAUAUACAAAUUCAUAUUUCAUUCCUAUAAGGUUCCAGUCUACAGCAUUGUACUGUACGAUCAUUGCCGCAGAAAUUCCAUGAAUUAGCUACUUCAAUAUGUAAA